GGCCCCUUAGCUCAGCUGGUUAGAGCGUGGUGCUAAUAACACCAAGGUCGCGGGUUCGACCCCCGUUCAGGCCA
rnacentral:tRNA from 1 species